rnacentral:rRNA from 1 species
ACUCGACUCCUACGGGAGGCAGCAGUAGGGAAUAUUGGUCAAUGGGUGAGAGCCUGAACCAGCCAUGCCGCGUGCGAGGAAGACGGCCUUCUGGGUGUAAACUGCUUUACCAGGGGAUAAAACGACUCUGCGGAGUUAAUUGAAGGUACCUGGAGAAUAAGCACCGGCUAACUACGUGCCAGCAGCCGCGGUAAUACGUAGGGUGCAAGCGUUGUCCGGAUUUAUUGGGUUUAAAGGGUGCGUAGGCGGGCUAUUAAGUCAGUGGUGAAAUCCAGCAGCUUAACUGUUGAUGUGCCAUUGAUACUGGUAGUCUUGAGUACAGAUGAGGUAGGCGGAAUUGACAGUGUAGCGGUGAAAUGCAUAGAUAUUGUCAAGAACUCCGAUAGCGAAGGCAGCUUACUGGGCUGUAACUGACGCUGAUGCACGAAAGUGUGGGGAUCAAACAGGAUUAGAUACCCUGGUAG